UUUUUUGUGGAGAGUUUGAUCCUGGCUCAGGACGAACGCUGGCGGCAUGCCUAACACAUGCAAGUCGAACGGAGAGCGG
rnacentral:rRNA from 1 species